CCCGCUGAAUUUAAGCAUAUCAAUAAGCGGAGGAAAAGAAACUAACAAGGAUUCCCCUAGUAACGGCGAGCGAAGCGGGAAGAGCUCAAAUUUGAAAGCUGGCGUCUUCGGCGUCCGCGUUGUAAUCUCGAGACGUGUUUUCCGUGCGGCUCUAUGGGCAAGUCCCUUGGAACAGGGCAUCGUAGAGGGUGAAAAUCCCGUACUUGCCAUGGAAGUUCCGUGCUUUGUGAUACACGCUCCAAGAGUCGAGUAGUUUGGGAUUGCUGCUCAAAGUGGGUGGUAGACUCCAUCUAAAGCUAAAUAUCGGGGAGAGACCGAUAGCGAACAAGUACCGUGAGGGAAAGAUGAAAAGCACUUUGGAAAGAGAGUUAAAAGUACGUGAAAUUGUCGAAAGGGAAGCACUUGAAGUCAGCCAUGCUGCUUGAGACUCAGCCUGGCUUUUGCUUGGUGUAUUUCUCGGUAGCAAGCCAGCAUUGGUUUGUGUCGUCGGAGAAGCGUAUGGGGAAUGUGGCAUCCUCGGAUGUGUUAUAGCCCUGUGCAGGAUGCUGUGUCGCAGACUGAGGACUGCAGUGCGCCAUAAGGCAUGGUCUUCGGGCCACGAGCACUUAAGAUGCUGGGCGAAUGGGUUUCAACGACCCGUCUUGAAACGCAGACCAAAGAA
rnacentral:rRNA from 1 species